rnacentral:rRNA from 1 species
GACGAACGCUGGCGGCGUGCUUAACACAUGCAAGUCGAACGGAAAGGCCCUGCUUUUGUGGGUUGCUCGAGUGACGGACGGGUGAGUAACACGUGAGUAACCUGCCCCUGAAUGUGGGGUAACUUCAAGUGAAUGGGGCUACUACUAGAUCGGAGCUUCUGCGGCAUGGGGGGGGGUGGAAAGUGGUGGCGGGUGGGGAGGGACGCGCGGCUUAUCAGUUGGUUGGGGGGGUAGUGGCCUACCACGGCUUGGGCGGGUAGCCGGCGUGGGAGGGGGGCCGGCCACAUUGGGACUGGGAUACGCCCCAGACUCCUACGGGGGGCAGCGGGGGGGAAUAUUGCACAAUGGGCGGAAGCCUGUUGCGGCAACGCCGCGUUCGGGAUGACGGCCUUCGGGUUGUAAACCGCUUUCGCCUGUGGCGAAGCGUGAGUGACGGUACUGGGUGAAGAAGCACCGGCUAACUACGUG